rnacentral:rRNA from 1 species
UCGGUGAAAUGCGUAGAUAUCGAGAGGAACACCAGUGGCGCAAGCGGCUGACUGGCCGAGACCUGACGCUGAGACACGACGGCGUGGGGAGCAAACCGGAUUAGAUACCCGGGUAGUCCACGCAGUAAACGAUGCAUACCCGGUGUUGGGCGGUCUGUUAAAGGACCGCGCAGUGCCCCAGCUUACGCGAUGAGUAUGCCGCCUGGGGACUACGAGCGCAAGCUUAAAACUCAAAGGAAUUGACGG